UCAUCAAUCUCAAAUCUCACAAACUCAAAAUCACUUUUUCUCUAUCAAACUCAUAAUCGCUUUUUCUCUAUCACGCUCAUCAAUCUUAAAUCACACAUCUAUCUCAAAUCUCACAAACUCCAUUGAUCUCAAACCUCACAAACCUCAUCAAUCUCACCUCAACAAUCUUCUCAAACAAGCUCUGAAUCGAUUUUCAAAUCGAUUUUGUUCUUCAUAUUUUGUUCAAAUCGAUUUAGAGAUCUUCAAAUCGAUUUUCAAUCAUUUUCAAUCGUUUUCAGUCGUCUUCAAAUCGUUUUCCAUUGAUCUCAAGCUCACAAACUACAUCAAUCAUUUUCAAUCGCUUAUGUGCGUGUGUAAUUUUCAGUCGCUUAUGUGCGUGUGUAAUUUUCAAUCGCUUAUGUUCUUCAUAUUUUCAAUCGCUUAUGUUCUCAAGCUCUGGAUCAUUUUCAAUCGCUGUUGCUAAGAAGAUUUGUAUAGAAGUCAAGUCUUCGAAAGAUUUUUUGGAACAUCUCUGGUUGUUGUUCUGUGUCUGUCAUAGUCUACGAGGAUCACGGCAAACCAGCUUUGUUAUACAGAAUACAGAUUUAGCACUCAACCGUAAGUGGACUAUGACCCUUUUGGAUAAAUAGAUUAAAAUACUUGGUAUGAUUAUGUAGUGCAACUGAUUUUUCAUGAAGUAUUACUGUUGAAUUUAUAAAUAGCUAGCUAAGAAACCUCGAGAGAUUUUUGGGUUUUAUAAGCCUUAUUGGCUCAUAAAUAAGGUGUAGAGCUCACGGCUCGACUCUCUCCUGUUUUAUCAAUGGAUAAGAGUUGGAUAUCAAAUAAAUCUAUAACUAAGGAGGAGUACAUUAGAGGGGUUUUAAGUUUUCUGAAUUUUGCUUUUGCUAACUCAUCCGAAAAUGGUAUGUUUCUUUGUAUGACUUGUAUGGGAACCAAGAAUCUUCCGAGGCUAAUUCAUGAGAUGACAACGAAGGCUAUAGGAGUGCAACCUUCUCGAGCUGAAAUUUAUAUUGAAACCCGAACUCGAAAAGACGGCAGCAUUGUGACUGAAAAGGCAGCUUCAACAAUUGUAAGAUAUAUUUAUUUAGAGUAAGGAACUGUGUAAAAUUUCAUGAAAGGUAUACUAUCUACUAACUUGCUUAAGUAUAGUUUCCUUGUAACUAAUAACUUGAACCUUACUUGGAUUAUAAGAAGAAAAUUCACUGUAAUUUUGGCCAAAUGAAUUUCCUCACUGUAAAUUCUCCAAGAAAGAAAGAGGUGGUAUGAUAUUCUUCAAGAAAGAUGUUGUGCAUGGAGUUGAUCUGGAGUCUGCCAUUAACAAUGCUAUUUUUCCUGGUCUACAGGGGGGGUUCUCGUAACCACACAAUUGGAGGACUAGCAGUUUGCUUGAAGUAUGCUCAAUCUCCAGAUUUUAAAAAUUACCAAAACCAGGUGGUUGCUAACUGUAGAGCUCUUGCUAACUACUUGGUUGAGCAUGGAUAUAAACUGGUUUCUGGUGGUAGUGAUAAUCACCUGGUUCUUGUUGAUCUGAGGCCAUCAAUAAGCUUGUUGCUCUUUUCUUUGUCAAUAUAAUGAUAGUUCUGUCUUGGCUUCCCCUCCCCAAUCUUUUACUAGUCAAUUAUUAAUAGAUAUCUCUCUCAAAUGUAAGUCUGAUAUUAUGCUAUUGUGUAGUAUAUUGCCUUAAGAUUAUUAGUUUAGUUCCACAUUCAAGUUAUAAAAUUUAAAAGCAAGCAUUUGUUUUGAUUUCUGUGCAGGAAGUAUUUGGGCCGGUUUGGGAUACUAUCGGAGAGCUCGUUUUCUUUUAUAGGUUAAUCGAAACACUGGGGCCAUUUUCCACGGGUUUCCCCAUAUCGACCACACUCAAGAUUUUGUGAGAAAGGAUAUCAUAGGAUGGCUUCAGUGGCUUUGCCAUAAUGUGGGCUUUCAGGAUUUUCGUUUUGAUUAUGCAAAGGCUAUUCACCAAAAUAUGUUAAAGACUAUAUUGAAGGAGCACAACCACUGUUAUCUGUCGGGGAGUAUUUGGAUGUUUGCAACUACAACGGUUCUACUUUGGACUAUAACCAAGAUAGCCAUAGGCAACGAAUAAUCAAAUGGAUUGAUGGCAGUGGACAUCUUUCAACUGGAUUUGACUUCACAACCAAGGGAAUUCUCCAGGAAUUCUGUCAAGAUAGAAUUCUGGCGUCUGCGUGAUGCUCAAGGGAAGCCACCUGGUGUGAUUGGAUGGUGGCCUUCAAGAUCACAUUGGAAUUUUGAAGAAUUGAUUGGUUUUGUUUAGAGAAG